rnacentral:rRNA from 1 species
GAUGAACGCUGACAGAAUGCUUAACGCAUGCAAGUCUUUGGCGAAGCUGUGCUUGCACAGCCUAGCCAAGGCGGACGGGUGAGUAACGCGUAAGGAACUUGCCCUGCAGUCAGGGAUAACAGACGGAAACGACUGAUAAGACCUGGUAAAGUCAGGCGGACUCAUGUCCAGCCUGAUGAAAAGAGAUGCUGCAGGAGAGCCUUGCGUCCUAUUAGCUUGUUGGUGGGGUAACGGCCCACCAAGGCGAUGAUAGGUAGCCGGCCUGAGAGGGUGGACGGCCACAAGGGGACUGGGAUACGGCCCUUACUCCUACGGGAGGCAGCAGUGGGGAAUAUUGGACAAUGGGGGCAACCCUGAUCCAGCAAUUCUGUGUGCACGAUGAAGGUUUUCGGAUUGUAAAGUGCUUUCAGCAGGGAAGAAAAAAAUGACGGUACCUGCAGAAGAAGCGACGGCUAAAUACGUG